rnacentral:rRNA from 1 species
CCUACGGGGGCAGCAGUGGGGAAUAUUGGACAAUGGGGGGAACCCUGAUCCAGCCAUGCCGCGUGUGUGAAGAAGGCCCUCGGGUUGUAAAGCACUUUCAGUGAGGAAGAACGCCUGGUGGUUAAUACCCAUCAGGAAAGACAUCACUCACAGAAGAAGGACCGGCUAACUCCGUGCCAGCAGCCGCGGUAAUACGGAGGGUGCGAGCGUUAAUCGGAAUUACUGGGCGUAAAGCGCGCGUAGGUGGCUUGAUAAGCCGGUUGUGAAAGCCCCGGGCUCAACCUGGGAACGGCAUCCGGAACUGUCAAGCUAGAGUGCAGGAGAGGAAGGUAGAAUUCCCGGUGUAGCGGUGAAAUGCGUAGAGAUCGGGAGGAAUACCAGUGGCGAAGGCGGCCUUCUGGACUGACACUGACACUGAGGUGCGAAAGCGUGGGUAGCAAACAGGAUUAGAUACCCCGGUAGUC